UUGAAGAGUUUGAUCAUGGCUCAGAUUGAACGCUGGCGGCAGGCCUAACACAUGCAAGUCGAGCGGUAGCACAGAAGAGCUUGCUCUUUGGGUGACGAGCGGCGGACGGGUGAGUAAUGUCUGGGAAACUGCCUGAUGGAGGGGGAUAACUACUGGAAACGGUAGCUAAUACCGCAUAACCUCGCAAGAGCAAAGAGGGGGACCUUCGGGCCUCUCGCCAUCAGAUGUGCCCAGAUGGGAUUAGCUAGUAGGUGAGGUAAUGGCUCACCUAGGCGACGAUCCCUAGCUGGUCUGAGAGGAUGACCAGCCACACUGGAACUGAGACACGGUCCAGACUCCUACGGGAGGCAGCAGUGGGGAAUAUUGCACAAUGGGCGCAAGCCUGAUGCAGCCAUGCCGCGUGUGUGAAGAAGGCCUUCGGGUUGUAAAGCACUUUCAGCGAGGAGGAAGGCGGUAAGGUUAAUAACCUUAUCGAUUGACGUUACUCGCAGAAGAAGCACCGGCUAACUCCGUGCCAGCAGCCGCGGUAAUACGGAGGGUGCAAGCGUUAAUCGGAAUGACUGGGCGUAAAGCGCACGCAGGCGGUCUGUUAAGUUGGAUGUGAAAUCCCCGGGCUUAACCUGGGAACUGCAUUCAAAACUGACAGGCUAGAGUCUUGUAGAGGGGGGUAGAAUUCCAGGUGUAGCGGUGAAAUGCGUAGAGAUCUGGAGGAAUACCGGUGGCGAAGGCGGCCCCCUGGACAAAGACUGACGCUCAGGUGCGAAAGCGUGGGGAGCAAACAGGAUUAGAUACCCUGGUAGUCCACGCUGUAAACGAUGUCGAUUUGGAGGUUGUGCCCUUGAGGCGUGGCUUCCGGAGCUAACGCGUUAAAUCGACCGCCUGGGGAGUACGGCCGCAAGGUUAAAACUCAAAUGAAUUGACGGGGGCCCGCACAAGCGGUGGAGCAUGUGGUUUAAUUCGAUGCAACGCGAAGAACCUUACCUACUCUUGACAUCCAGAGAAUUAGCUAGAGAUAGCUGAGUGCCUUCGGGAACUCUGAGACAGGUGCUGCAUGGCUGUCGUCAGCUCGUGUUGUGAAAUGUUGGGUUAAGUCCCGCAACGAGCGCAACCCUUAUCCUUUGUUGCCAGCGAUUCGGUCGGGAACUCAAAGGAGACUGCCGGUGAUAAACCGGAGGAAGGUGGGGAUGACGUCAAGUCAUCAUGGCCCUUACGAGUAGGGCUACACACGUGCUACAAUGGCGUAUACAAAGAGAAGCGACCUCGCGAGAGCAAGCGGACCUCAUAAAGUACGUCGUAGUCCGGAUUGGAGUCUGCAACUCGACUCCAUGAAGUCGGAAUCGCUAGUAAUCGUAGAUCAGAAUGCUACGGUGAAUACGUUCCCGGGCCUUGUACACACCGCCCGUCACACCAUGGGAGUGGGUUGCAAAAGAAGUAGGUAGCUUAACCUUCGGGAGGGCGCUUACCACUUUGUGAUUCAUGACUGGGGUGAAGUCGUAACAAGGUAACCGUAGGGGAACCUGCGGUUGGAUCACCUCCUU
rnacentral:rRNA from 1 species